GGGAAAAUAGCUCAGUGGUAGAGCAUCGGAAAUCUCGUCCAUCCGAGCGGGUUAACUCAAAGGUCGUGCGUUCGAUUCCCAGCUUCCCCG